rnacentral:rRNA from 1 species
ACUGCAACCUGAGGAUUGUGCGGUUUAAUUGGAUUCAACGCCGGAAAACUCACCAUAGCCGACGGACAAAUGAAGGCCAGCGUAACGAGCUUGCUGGAUUGUUCGAGAGGUAUUGCAUGGCCGUCGUCAGUUCGUACCGUAAGGCGUUCUGUUAAGUCAGAUAACGAACGAGACCCUCGUCCCUAUUUGCCAACCAGGUCCCCGGAUCUGGCGCACUAUAGGGAGACUGCCCGCGCUAAGUGGGAUGAAGGGGAGGGCAACGGUAGGUCAGUAUGAUCCGAAUGCUAUGGGCUACACGCGCAAUACAAAGGACGGGACAAUGGGCUGCAACUCCGAGAGGAACGACGCUAUCCCGAAACCCGUUCGUAGUUCGGAUUGAGGGCUGUAACUCGCCCUCAUGAAGCUGGAUUAGGUAGUAAUCGCGUCUCAAUAGGGCGCGGUGAAUAUGCCCCUGCUCCUUGCACACACCGCCCGUCAAACCAUCUUAGUUGGGGGUGGGUGAGGCUACCUUUGAAUGGGGUAUUCGAGCCUGCCUUCGACAAGGAGGGUUAAGUCGUAACAAGGUAUCUGUAGGGGAACCUGCAGAUG